rnacentral:rRNA from 1 species
AGCGAACGUUAGCGGCGCGCUUAACACAUGCAAGUCGCACGAGAAAGGGCUUCGGCCCCAGUAAAGUGGCGCACGGGUGCGUAACACGUAGGCAAUCUUCCCUUGAGCGGGGGAUAACGUUUCGAAAGAGACGCUAAUACCGCAUAAGACCACGACCGGUUCGCCGGUUGCGGUCAAAGCUGGCCUCUUCAUGAAAGCUAGCACUUAAGGACGAGCCUGCGGCCCAUCAUGCUAGUUGGUAGGGUAACGGCCUACCAAGGCGAAGACGGGUAGCUGGUCUGAGAGGAUGAUCAGCCACACUGGAACUGAAACACGGUCCAGACUCCUACGGGAGGCAGCAGUGGGGAAUAUUGGACAAUGGGCGAAAGCCUGAUCCAGCGACGCCGCGUGAGUGAUGAAGGCC